AUUGAACGCUGGCGGCAGGCCUAACACAUGCAAGUCGAACGGUAGCACAGAGAGCUUGCUCUCGGGUGACGAGUGGCGGACGGGUGAGUAACGUCUGGGAAACUGCCCGAUGGAGGGGGAUAACUACUGGAAACGGUAGCUAAUACCGCAUAACGUCGCAAGACCAAAGUGGGGGACCUUCGGGCCUCACACCAUCGGAUGUGCCCAGAUGGGAUUAGCUAGUAGGUGGGGUAAUGGCUCACCUAGGCGACGAUCCCUAGCUGGUCUGAGAGGAUGACCAGCCACACUGGAACUGAGACACGGUCCAGACUCCGACGGGAGGCAGCAGUGGGGAAUAUUGCACAAUGGGCGCAAGCCUGAUGCAGCCAUGCCGCGUGUAUGAAGAAGGCCUUCGGGUUGUAAAGUACUUUCAGCGGGGAGGAAGGCGGUGAAGUUAAUAGCUUCACCGAUUGACGUUACCCGCAGAAGAAGCAACGGCUAACUCCGUGCCAGCCGCCGCCGUAA
rnacentral:rRNA from 1 species